GGAGAUUGAAGAGGGAUUCAAGGAGAAACGUUUGGAGAUUCAACGUGCGAGGAGGCCAAUUUGAAAGGCAAGGGCAUAGCGAGCUAGAGCUUUGGCCAGUUUAAGGUACAGGUGUCCAUGAGGUGUAGAGCGAGCU